UACGGGGGGGGCAAGCGUUGUUCGGAAUUACUGGGCGUAAAGGGCUCGUAGGCGGCCAACUAAGUCAGACGUGAAAUCCCUCGGCUUAACCGGGGAACUGCAUCUGAUACUGGAUGGCUUGAGUUUGGGAGAGGGAUGCGGAAUUCCAGGUGUAGCGGUGAAAUGCGUAGAUAUCUGGAGGAACACCGGUGGCGAAGGCGGCAUCCUGGACCAACACUGACGCUGGGGAGCGAAAGCCAGGGGAGCAAACGGG
rnacentral:rRNA from 1 species